rnacentral:rRNA from 1 species
AGUGAACGCUGGCGGCGUGCCUAAUACAUGCAAGUCGAACGGAGAUUAAGUAGCUUGCUAUUUAAUCUUAGUGGCGCACGGGUGAGUAAUAUAUAGCUAACUUGCCCAUUACUAAGGGACAACAGUUGGAAACGACUGCUAAUACCUUAUACUCCGUAUCUAUAUAAGUAGAUACGGGAAAGUUUUUCGGUAAUGGAUAGGGCUAUAUCGUAUCAGCUAGUUGGUAAGGUAAUGGCUUACCAAGGCUAUGACGCGUAACUGGUCUGCGAGGAUGAUCAGUCACACUGGAACUGAGACACGGUCCAGACUCCUACGGGAGGCAGCAGUAGGGAAUAGUGCUCAAUGGGGGAAACCCUGAAGCAGCAACGCCGCGUGGAGGAUGACACUUUUCGGAGCGUAAACUCCUUUUCUUGGGAAAGAAUUAUGACGGUACCCAAGGAAUAAGCACCGGCUAACUCCGUG